rnacentral:rRNA from 1 species
GACGUAGGGGGCGAGCGUUGUCCGGAUUUACUGGGCGUAAAGAGCGCGUAGGCGGCUUGUUAAGUGUGAAGUGAAAUCUCCAGAGCUCAACUCGGAAACGGCUUUACAUACUGGCAAGCUAGAGGAAUGCAGAGGUAAGUGGAAUUCCUGGUGUAGCGGUGAAAUGCGUAGAUAUCAGGAGGAACACCCAUGGCGAAGGCAGCUUACUGGGCAUUAUCUGACGCUGAGGCGCGAAAGCGUGGGUAGCAAACAGG